AGCUGGUCGGUGCAGUGGUGUUUAUAAAUCACAGCCAGUUAUAGAUUUCUUUGUUCCUUUACUCCCUGCGCUUCACUUGCCUAGCCUUAC
ensembl:misc_RNA Y_RNA Y RNA